rnacentral:rRNA from 1 species
UACGUAGGGUCCGAGCGUUGUCCGGAAUUAUUGGGCGUAAAGAGCUCGUAGUCGGCGUGUCGCGUCUGCUGUGAAAGACCGGGGCUUAACUCCGGUUCUGCAGUGGGUACGGGCAGACUAGAGUGUGGUAGGGGAGACUGGAAUUCCUGGUGUAGCGGUGAAAUGCGCAGAUAUCAGGAGGAACACCGAUGGCGAAGGCAGGCCUCUGGGCCACUACUGACGCUGAGAAGCGAAAGCAUGGGGAGCGAACAGGAUUAGAUA